CGAAAGGAUAAAAACGUCAUGAACAGCCCGCUGGCAAAAAAUAACGCUAAUGCACUCGCUUUAUAUUAGUAAUAAUCCUUACCUUGGUGUAAAACGAGGCCAGUUAUAACAAUAAGCAGGGAUUUUAGGAGCAUGUUCUGAUCCUCCAUGAACGCGCUGUGCUUCGAUCAGGGGUGUAGGUGGACUGAAUGGUAGCACUCGUUAUCUUUCGUGAACAUACAAACAGCUUUGUCCUAGUUCUGAGUCACUCUGAUACGGAGAAACCUGACACGGUACGGGCUGGGCCCACUGACAUUCUCCAAAAACUGCCUCUUUCAGCCGGUCCUCUACACGCCGACGCUCUCCGUGAUUCCGUUUAACCUAUGCGGGGAAUUUCCACACUUUGUGGAAUGUCGGAAAGAUACCAAUCAGGGCAAUUCACCGGGAAUUAGUG